rnacentral:rRNA from 1 species
GCUGGCGGCGUGCCUAACACAUGCAAGUCGAACGAGAAAGUGGAGCAAUCCAUGAGUACAGUGGCGGCCGGGUGAGUAACACGUGACCAAUCUACCCUCGAGUGGGGAAUAACGCCGGGAAACCGGGGCUAAUACCGCAUAACAUCCUCGGAUCGGAAGAACUGGGGAUCAAAGGAGCAAUUCGCUUGAGGAGGAGGUCGCGGCUGAUUAGCUAGUUGGCGGGGUAAUGGCCCACCAAGGCGAAGAUCGGUAUCCGGCCUGAGAGGGCGCACGGACACACUGGAACUGAAACACGGUCCAGACUCCUACGGGAGGCAGCAGUGGGGAAUUUUGCGCAAUGGGGGAAACCCUGACGCAGCAACGCCGCGUGGAGGAUGAAGUCCCUUGGGACGUAAGCUCCUUUCGACCCGGACGAUUAUGACGGUACGGGUGGAAGAAGCACCGGCUAACUUCGUGCCAGCAGCCGCGGUAAUACGAGGGGUGCGAGCGUUGUUCGGAAUUAUUGGGCGUAAAGGGCGCGUANGCGGUGCGGUAAGUCACCUGUGAAAUCUCCCGGCUCAACUGGGAGCUUGCAGGCGAAACUGC